AACGAACGCUGGCGGCAUGCCUAACACAUGCAAGUCGAACGAGACCUUCGGGUCUAGUGGCGCACGGGUGCGUAACGCGUGGGAACCUGCCCUUAGGUUCGCAAUAACUCCCCGAAAGAGGUGCUAAUACCGGAGAAUGUCUUCGGACCAAAGAUUUAGCGCCUUUGGAUGGGCCCGCGUUGGAUUAGCUAGUUGGUAGGCUAAAAGCCUACCAAGGCGAGGUUACAUAGCUGGGCUGAGAGGAUGAUCAGCGACACUGGGCCUGAGACACGGUCCGGACUCCUAGGGAAGGCAGGAGAGGGGAAUAUAGGACAGUGGGGGGUGGCAUGAUGGAGCAAUGCCGCGUGAGUGAUGCAGGCCGUGGGGUUGUAAAGCUCUUUUACACGGGGUGAUAAUGACGGUACCGGGAGAAUAAGCACCGGCUAACUCCGUG
rnacentral:rRNA from 1 species